rnacentral:rRNA from 1 species
UUAUCAACUUUCGAUGGUAGGAUAGAGGCCUACCAUGGUGGUAACGGGUAACGGGGUGUUAGGGCACGACACCGGAGAGGGAGCCUGAGAAACGGCUACCACAUCCAAGGAUGGCAGCAGGCGCGCAAAUUACCCAAUCCCGACACGGGGAGGUAGUGACAAUAAAUAACAAUACGGGGUUCUUUCGGAUCUCGUAAUUGGAAUGAGUACAAUUUAAAUCUCUUAACGAGGAACAAUUGGAGGGCAAGUCUGGUGCCAGCAGCCGCGGUAAUUCCAGCUCCAAUAGCGUAUAUUAAAGUUGUUGCAGUUAAAAAGCUCGUAGUUGAAUUUCGGGGUUAGUAGGUUGGUCAUGCCUCUGGUAUGUACUGGUCUCACUGAUUCCUCCUUCCUGAUGAACCGUAAUGCCAUUAAUUUGGUGUUGCGGGGAAUUUGGACUGUUACUUUGGAAAAAUUAGAGUGUUUAAAGCAAGCUAACGCUUUGGAAUUACAUUUUAGCAUGGGAAAUAAAUGGAAAAUAGGACCGUUCGAUCCCUAUUUUUGUUGGGUUUUCCUAGGGAUU